UACAGAGGUCUCAAGCGUUGUUCGGAUUCAUUGGGCGUAAAGGGUGCGUAGGCGGCGCGGUAAGUCGGGUGUGAAAUCUCGGAGCUUAACUCCGAAACUGCAUUCGAUACUGCCGUGCUUGAGGACUGGAGAGGAGACUGGAAUUUACGGUGUAGCGGUGAAAUGCGUAGAUAUCGUAAGGAAGACCAAUGGCGAAGGCGGGUCUCUGGACAGUUCCUGACGCUGAGGCACGAAGGUCAGGGGAGCAAACGGG
rnacentral:rRNA from 1 species